UUCGGGAGCCGUAAGACAGGUGCUGCAUGGCUGUCGUCAGCUCGUGUCGUGAGAUGUUGGGUUAAGUCCCGCAACGAGCGCAACCCCCUAUCCUCAGUUGCCAUCAUUAAGUUGGGCACUCUGUGGAGACUGCCGGUGUCAAACCGGAGGAAGGUGGGGAUGACGUCAAGUCCUCAUGGCCCUUAUGACCAGGGCUACACACGUGCUACAAUGGCCGGUACAAAGAGUUGCGAUACCGCGAGGUGGAGCUAAUCUCAUAAAGCCGGUCUCAGUUCGGAUUGGAGUCUGCAACUCGACUCCAUGAAGUUGGAAUCGCUAGUAAUCGCGGAUCAGCACGCCGCGGUGAAUACGUUCCCGGGCCUU
rnacentral:rRNA from 1 species